UCCCUGGUAGUAUAUCGGUUAGUACACGCGCCUGUCACCGAUUGCGGUCGCGCGAAAGCGGGGUUCGACUCCCCGCCAGGGAG